GGGCCUAAGAAUGAAACGCUGGUUAGUUUUGAUGCUGUCCUGUGGAAGCAAGGACAUAUCCAACCCUCUCCGUGUGUGUGUUUGUACGGUGCGGCGGUAUUGUUGCUGGUCUCUGUGUGCUGAUUUUGUUUGCUAUACAUACGGCUAGGCCAUUCAAUUCAUUGUUUACAUGGGUGGAUAGGAAUUUGGGACACUCCAUUCCAUCUUGCAUGCGCCGUUCUGCCCCACCGGUUAUGCUUGGAAGGUUUCGGUUACACCCCGUGCCCAGUUCUUCCAUCGGCUGUGCAAUACAUCCCAUUGUAAUUGUAUAACUAUUUAGCUGUGAAGAGGCUGUUGUAAACUGUAGGCUCAAUUUUUUUUUUUACCCCACGAUUCUUUUGGUAUUGUGUAUCGUAUGGUGUGAACUGUGUGAUUCAGUAGCAAGUAGUAGUGCUGUAUUUUUUUUAUGGUUUGUGUAAAUUUUUGUUUUCCGGUGUAUCUAGGAUACAUGAAAAUAUACCAUAGUGAAAACAACAGGCACCUGAUAUUUUACUCAUUUUUGCCUUCCCUAUGUUCUGAUCAGUUAGUUGUUGGCAAUAGUUUGGCUGAUACUACGUGAGUGCUCACGUCUGCAGCAAUGUUGAGGUCAUAUCGCCCUGUCGUGUUCACGCCGCCUAAAUUGUGUUGGCCAAAGCAUGUGCAUCAGACCGACAAAUGCAUCAGAUUCACCGGAUCGUCAUUAGAAUCACGACUUGUUCAAUAAAAAUAGGCAGCGCAAGUCGGUUGGUCGCUAGCCAGCCUCCUUAUCUUGAACCCCCACAGAGAAAGCAGUAGGUAUACGGACACAUCUAGCCAACACACCGCAAUACGCAAGCAGGCAACAACCGCAGCCCCAAGCAAACCGAAGAUGGGGAAGGAGUUCGGGAGCAUGGAGGAGUUCUGGGGGUUCUACCUGGGCCAGCACUCGAAGCCGGCGACGCGGCGCUGGCACUUCGCCGGCACGCUCGCCUCGCUGGUGUGCGCGCUGCUGGCGGCCGCCACCGGCCGCGCCGCGCUCCUGGUGGCCUGCCCUGUGCUCGGCUACGGCAUGGCCUGGUACAGCCACUUCUUCGUGGAGGGCAACCGGCCGGCCACCUUCGGUCACCCCGUCUGGUCCUUCCUCUGCGACUACCGCAUGUUCGCCCUCAUCCUCACCGGCCGCAUCGACGCCGAGCUCGCCCGCCUCCGCGUCCACCCGCGCCUCGCCUCCGACUGACCGAUCCGGCCGCCUCUUCGCCGUCCGUGCCGUGCCGUGCCAGCAUCAAUCAACCAAUAAAGAUUCCGCGCACUUGCAGGUGUGUCGGAGCAUUUGUCUACUGAGGUUCCUGGUGUAUGUGUACUUGCUGCGCAUUUCUCUACGCACACAAAAAUACUACUCCCUCCUUUCCAAAAUAUAAGAACGUUUUUAACACUACAUUAGUGUCAAAAACGUUGUGGGACAGAGGUAGUAGUAGUUCUACCAUGUGUCUUUGCCUCUCGUGAAUUAUGUUUGCUCUACUCUAAGGCCUUUCUCUUCUCCUUGGUAUGGGGGCAGUUCUAACACGAACUGGACAUACUUCUGAUUUAUUUUCCUGCACUUCAUUCAGUUCCACAACACAGGCUCCCAAAACGACCCACGAGUUUGACAAGUAGUAGAUAGAACCUCACAAGAAUCGCAAUAACAAAUGGCAGAUAUACACGAAUACGCGCCCUUAAUUUUUUUAAUAGCCGAUUUAACCGGAGGUCACACGCAUCUGAUCAUGUUGGCUGUAGAGUGUAGACCAUUGCCCGGCUCAGCUGUCGCUUCUGUUGGGCUUGUCUGACUCCUCCUGAUACACCUGAAACAAGCACGAAGCGUGUCAAUCGCCGAUGAGAACUGCAGAAAUGCCAGCAAAGAAGAGGGAGAGAGGGGGCAGUAUCUGUCCUCCUACCGUGUCAGCUGACGGGAUCCACUCGUUUGUGGCGGGGUUUCCCUUGGAGGAAGCAUGGCGCUCCGUCGCAUCCGGGUCCUCGGAGAGCUCGAACGAGGCGCCGGCGGGCCUGUCCACCUUGAUGAAGCCCGUGCCAGUCUGCACCACGUCCAUCGACCACGAUUCAGCUCAGCGGCUCAUAUAAUUCAGAGAAAAAUUGCAGAGGAGGAAGGCAGCGACCGUGUGAUGCUGCUUGCCGACGCAGCCGAGGUCCUUGUAGUACUCCGUCUCCACGAACUCCUCGCCCGCCUUCCCGCCCUCGCACACCAGUUUCUGCGACAAGAAACCACACGCACCGCGGCAUCAGCGGCUCCGCUCCGGCUUGUAGAUUCUAAGUAUCCACGAGAGGUCUUGAUGAACAGGAGGAGAUGGUGCGACCGACCUCGGAGUGGGCUUCCAGGUCCUGGAACUUGUCGAGCUCGGGGUGGGAGCCGUCGGCGCCGGGGCCGGCGAGCGCGUCGGUGUACACGGCGGAGUGGUCGCUGCGGGAGGGCUUGGAGUGGCGCUUGGGCGCCGCGCCGUCAUAGUACCCCCGCACCUCGUCCACCCUCACCGCCUCGUCCACCGGGGACAGGUGCGCGUCGCUCCUGCUCGGCCUCGACAUGUCGCUCGACCGACCUCUCCGCACAAGCGCGCCGGCCGAUGCUACUGCUGCCGGAGCGUACUGGUGGUGUGUAUUGCUAGGCCGUGGCCGUGGCCACGCUCGUUAGCGGUGGUGUUAAUUGCGCGGGCGGCGGUGGUGAUGGUGGCUGAAAGCGCCGUGCUAUUAUGCCGCGUGCGACGGUGGCCUGCCCCGGCAGCGAGAUGUUUGUGAGGAGAAAAUAUCCGCGGGGAGCUGGGUGGAUAGAGGGGUACGUCGCUGGGUUGGCGAGAAGAUGGACGGACGAGAGGCCAGGAAUGCGCGGCCGCUCGGCCGUCACGUCGGAGACGGCGAGAUCGGGGCCCUGGCCGGGGCCGUGGUUUAUCCGCAGGCGUUCAGACACGGCGUUCUGCUCAAAAAAAUAAUUUUGAGGGUAAUAGCCAAGCUUUAUUCAUUAAAAACCACAUGUAGUGGGAUACAAUUCGGGUUAUGGGGUUGGUCUAACCAAACAUGACGCCCCGGACCCAGAGAAAGAGUAUGCUUGGCUAAUCUAUGAGCUUCUAAAUUGUUCAAACGGCCUUCAAAACAAAAAUUACAAUGAAAAGAAGAUUGUUGGACUCUAAUCUCCUUGAUGAUUGCUCCAUAAGCGCACUUGCUGUCGUUGUGUAUGGCACUCAUCACCUCCUUCGCGUCUGACGCUACGACAAAUUGGUUUAGGUGAAGAUCAACUGCAAACGCCAAACCCGCCCAGCACGCUAUUACCUCUAGUGUUGCCGGGUCAUCCACACCUCUGAUAACUAGAGCCGAGCUACCAAGGAAAGUCCCCGAGCUAUCUCUGCAUACCGCUGCCGCUGUCCCCUGGCUUCCUUUCCUGCACCCCACAUCAACAUUAAUUUUGGCAUAGCCAGUAGGAGGUGCUUUGGGUUUCCUGUUGCUGUUAUGUACCACUCUGGGUUCAGUCCUUACCGGCUCCUGUUUUCCAUUGAUUACCUCGAGUUCAUCAAUGUACCUCUCUACAAAGGACAUGAUCGCAUGUGGGCUCUGAAAAACACCUUCGUGUAUAGCUUUUCGCCUCGCUACCCAGAUAGCCCAAAGAGUCACCGAAAUCCUCACAAAUUCAGCAUGUGAUAACAGCUCCAUUAGAGUAAAUAGCCACUGCUCGGCUUUUGGUUCGGUAGUUGACGUCAUCUUUUGCAGAAGUUCACCAUCUAUGAGCGCCUAGGUGCACCGUGAGGACGUGCAAUCGAGGAGCGAGUGUAUCCACGAAUCGGGUGCCCCACACAUGCCACAUGAGUUCAAGUGUGCCAUAUGUCUUCUCGCACGGACAUCGUUUGUUGGGAUCGAAUGCUUUGAGAGUCUCCAGAGGAACAUCCUCACCUUGCCAGGCACUCUCGUUUUCCACAAACUCUUCCAAGAUCUCUCCUCCGUCGCAGUGCUUGAAGGACCCAAAGUAUUCUCAAGCCAUGCCUCUCUCCUUAACCUGGUAGCUACAAGCAUGCGAUAUGCCGAACGGACCGAGAAAAAGCCAUUCUUUUCAUAGUGCCAACUCCAGAAAUCAGAGAUAUUGCCAGUGCAUAGGGGAAUGCUUAGUAUGACUUGAAUAUCCAUCGGCAUGAACACCGACUCCACCUUCUCUCUAUCCCAGCUUGCGGAUGUGUGAUCUAUGAGUUCUGACACUAGCAGAGGAGGAUUUUGAGUAACGCACCCGUAAGGUUUCAUCAUCUCCUCUUUGGGUAGCCAGUUAUCUUCCCAAUUUUUUGUCGAUUCUCCGGUGCUAAUGCGCUUGAUCAGGCCCAUCUUCAGGGUGUCACGUCCCUCUAUAAUGGCCCUCCAAAUCUGACUUGGGUGAUUCCCCAAUGAAGCUUCCAAAAUUGAGCAACUCGGGUAAUAUAUACUCUUCAGAACACGCGCGCUGAGAGAGUCCGGCUCCUGCAACAGCCUCCAUGCCUGCUUUGCUAACAUGGCCAAGUUAAAGAGUUCAAAGUCCUUAAAGCCUAGACCACCCAUUCCUUUUGGCUGGGUCAUAGUCUUCCACGAAACCCAAUGGGGUUUUCGCUUUCCUUCCUUGCUACCCCACCAAAAUUUCCGGAUUAACAUAUUGAGAUGUUCGCACAAACCUCGUGGCAAUUUGAAACAAGACAUAGAGAAGACCGGAACUGCUUGGGCGACCGCUUUCACCAAAACCUCUUUGCCUGCUGAAGACAUUAUGCUCUCAAUCCACCCUUGCACUUUACUCCAUAGACGACCCUUCAAGUAUUUAAAUACACUGUAUUUAGAUGAGCCUAUGCCCGAGGGCAUGCCUAAAUAUUUCUCAUUUAGGGUCUCAUUUGGAACUUGCAUCAUCGUCUUCAUCUCUGUCCGGAUACUGUCGGGAACCCCCUUGCUGAAAUAAAUCGAUGACUUGUUGUAGUUGAUACGUUGUCCUGAAGCCUGACAGUAUCUGUCAAGAACUAGGUUCACCUCGGUAGCACCCAUACUAUUUGCCUUGAAGAACAGCAGGCUGUCAUCAGCGAAUAAUAAGUGAUUCACCUUAGGUGCCGAGGACGCCACUUGUAAACCACUCAUGUUGGAUGACUCGCUUCUGGAUUUUAACAGGCAUAAAAGGCCCUCUGCUGCUAGCAAGAACAAGUACGGAGAUAUCGGGUCCCCUUGUCUGAUCCCACGUGUUGGUGUAAACUCCUCCAACCUCUUCCAUUUAAACUGAACUAAAAAAGUUACUGAAGAUACCAGUCCCAUGACAAUAUCCACCCACCUCUGAGAGAAACCAAGUUUCAACAUGAUUGCUUGUAAACACUCCCACUCUACCCUGUCAUAAGCUUUCAUCAUAUCAAGUUUCAAUGCACAUGAUUGAUGCUUCUUUGCUUUGUUCCUCUUCAUGAAAUGCAAGCACUCAUAAGCAGUCACAAUAUUAUCAGUUAUCAGUCUCCCCGGGACGAAAGCUGACUGCUCCUCUGAAAUGAUCUCCGGUAAAAUGACUCUCAAACGAUUAGAGAUUACCUUGGAUGCAAUUUUGUAGAGGACGUUACAUAGACUGAUAGGCCGGAAUUGUGACAAUAACGUGGUUUUUUUUACCUUUGGGAUCAUCACCAAAACUGUCUCAUUGAUGCUUCUUGCUGAUUCCUUGCCCUCUACAAUGUCAAGCACUACUUUUGUAACAUCAUCUCCGUAGAUCUCCCAAUGGUGUUGAAAGAAGUGGGCCGGGAAACCAUGCGGGCCCGGUGAUUUUGUGGGGAACAUUUGGAAAAGGGCUUUUUUAACUUCUGCUUGGGUGUAGGGCACGUUCAACAUAUCAUUCAUUCUCUGCGUUACUUUGCGGGGUACGGUCGAGAGGACACUCUCCAUAUCUUGUACCCCCUCUGAGCUAUACAAGUUUUUGUAAAAAGCGGUUGUCAUUGCUUCCAUCUCAUCUUUAUCUUCGGUGAACUGACCGGACUCUUUCUAAAGAGCCCUAAUUUGAUUUUUUUUCGUCUCCUUCUACUCGCACGUAAAUGAAAGAAGUACGUGUUUUUAUCUCCAUGCAUCAGCCACUCGAGUCUUGCCCUCUGGCACCAUAAUAUUUCCUCGCGAUGAUAUAGCUCAACUAGAUUUUCUGUGAUUUUUAACUCCAUGUGGUUAGGACCGGAUCUACCUGGGAGGACGCGCAACUCCUGUAGCUGUUUCUACAACCGUGCAAUCUGCCGCCUUACAUUCCCAAAGUGCUCGCGAUCCCAUGCAAAGAGAUCCCCCGACACCUGCUGCAGCUUUUGUCGUACCUGCUCCACUGGUCGGAUGUGGUCCAGGUUCUGUGCGACCCACCCGUCGCCAAUCACUUUUGCAUGCAUGGGGUCACGCUCCCAACACAUCUCGUACCUGAACUGCCUCGGUCCUCGUGGAACUGCAUGCAGCGUGUCGAGCUGGAGGAAGAUGGGAAUAUGAUCAGAAGAAACAACAUGCUUGUGUUCCAGAAUUGAUGUUGGGAAAGCCAAAGACCAUACUGGAUUAGCUACACAUCCAUCCAGACGAACUCUGGCGUAAGUUCCUCCUGCCACCUUUUUUUCAAAAGUCCAGUUGAUUCCAGUGAAGCAUAUAUCUGACAAACUGCAUGUAUCAAGCGCAUCUCUAAACGCAUCCAAUUGUGCCUGACUUCUGUUUGCCACUCCAGCAUGCUCAUGUGAGUAUAAAACCUCAUUAAAGUCUCCUAUAACUGCCCAUGGCAGAUCGUUAGCACCAACAAUGCUCCGCAACAUGUCCCAUGUUUUAUAUCUUUCCACUACCUAGGCCUCCCUGUAGACGAAGGUGACCCUUGUUUUUAUCUGAGCCAAAUCAUCUAUCACAACAUUAAUAUGAUACUUGGAGUAACCAUCAACCACUAGCUUUAUUUCAUCAUUCCAAAAGAUACCAAGUCCACCACUUCUCCCAGAGCUACUAACUGCAAAACUAUUGGUAAAACCUAAUGAGCCUGCUAGAUUCUCUACACGAGAGCCCUCUAUCUGAGUUUCGACAAUGCAUAAUACUGAUGUCUACUACACAACCUUCUUCUUGUAGACGUUGUUAGGCCUCCAAGUGCAGAGGUUUGUAGGACAGUAGCAAAUUUCCCUCAAGUGGAUGACCUAAGGUUUAUCAAUCCGCAGGAGGCGUAGGAUGAAAAUGGUCUCUCCCAAGCAACCCUACAACCAAAUAGCAAAGAGUCUCUUGUGUCCCCAACACACCUAAUACAAUGGUAAAUUAUAUAGGUGCACUAGUUCGGCAAAGAGAUGGUGAUACAAGUGCAAUAUGGAUAGUAGAUAAUAGUUUUUGUAAUCUGAUAUUAUAAAAACAGCAAGGUAACAAGUGAUAAAAGUGAGCGUAAACGGUAUUGCAAUGUGUGGAAAUAAGGCCUAGGGUUUAUACUUUCACUAGUGUAAGUCCUCUCAACAAUACUAACAUAAUUGGAUCAUAAAACUAUCCCUCAACAUGCAACAAAGAGUCACUCCAAAGUCACUAAUAGCGGAGAACGAACGAAGAGAUUAUGGUAGGGUACGAAACCACCUCAAAGUUAUCCUUUCCAAUCAAUCCGUUGGGCUAUUCCUAUAAGUGUCACAAACAGCCCUAGAUUUCGUACUAGAAUAACACCUUAAGACACAAAUCAACCAAAACCCUAAUGUCACCUAGAUACUCCAAUGUCACCUCAAAUGUCCGUGGGUAUGAUUAUACGAUAUGCGUCACACAAUCUCAGAUUCAUCUAUUCAACCAAUACAAAGGACCUCAAAGAGUGCCCCAAAGUUCUACCGGAGAAUCACGACAAAAACGUGUGCCAACCCCUAUGCAUAGGUUCAUGGGCGGAACCCGCAAGUUGAUCACCAAAACAUACAUCAAGUGAAUCACGUGAUAUCCCAUUGUCACCACAGAUACGCACGACAAGACAUACAUCAAGUGUUUUCAAAUCUUUAAAGACUCAAUCGGAUAAGAUUACUUCAAAGGGGAAACUCAAUUCAUUACAAGAGAGAAGAGGGGGAGGAGAAACAUAAGAUCCAGGUAUAAUAGCAAAGCUCGCGAUACAUCAAGAUCGUGCCAGAUCAAGAACACGAGAGAGAGAGAGAGAUCAAACACAUAGCUACUGGUACAUACCCUCAGCCCCGAGGGAGAACUACUCCCUCCUCGUCAUGGAGAGCACCGGGAUGAUGAAGAUGGCCAUCGGAGAAGGAUUACCCCCUCCGGCAGGGUGCCGGAACGGGUCUAGAUUGGCUUUCGGUGGCUACGAAGUCUUCUAGCGGCGGAACUCCCGAUCUAUUGUGCUCUCUAGAAGUUUUACAAUACGUAGCUAUAUAUGGGUACAAGGGGUACGUCGGUGGACCGAAGGGGGAGCCACGGGGUAGGGGCGCGCCCUAGGGGGGUGGGCGCGCCCCCUACCCUCGUGAGCACCUCCUUCAUCUUCUGACGUAGGGUCCAAGUCUAUCCGGUAGGUUUCCUUCCAAAAAUAAAUUCUCCAGUUGAUUUCGUUCCGUUUUGACUUCGUUUGAUAUUCCUUUUCCUCGAAACACUGAAAUAGGCAUAAAACAGCAAAUCUACGCUGGGCCUCCGGUUAAUAGGUUAGUCCCAAAAAAAAUAUAAAAGUGGAAAAUAAAGCCCAAUAUUGCCCAAAACAGUAGAUAAUAUAGCAUGGAGCAAUCAAAAAUUAUAGAUACGUUGGAGACGUAUCAGCAUCCCCAAGCUUAAUUCCUGCUCGUCCUCGAGUAGGUAAAUGAUAAAAAAGAUAAUUUUUGAUGUGGAAUGCUAGUUGGCAUAAUUUUAGUGUAAUUCUUCUUACUUGUGAUAUGAAUAUUCAUAUCUGAAAGAUUCAAGACAAAAGUUCAUAUUGACAUAAAAAUAAUAAUACUUCAAGCAUACUAACUAAGCAAUCAUGUCUUCUCAAAAUAACAUGGCCAAAGAAAGUUAUCCCUACAAAAUCAUAUAGUCUGGCUAUGCUCUAUCUUCACGACACAAAAUAUUUAAAUCAUGCACAACCCCGAUGACAAGCCAAGCAAUUGUUUCAUGCGUCACACAAUCAUAUGUUGUUUCAUGCGUCACACAAUCAUAUUCUUCCAAGCGAGUGCCAAAAAGAUUUUCAAGAUCAUAAGAAGUAUCAUUAUCUUCCACAAUUAUAUUUUCAUGAGGCACAAUAGUAAUAGGAGCAGUAUUAUUUGGGAGAGAUAUCUUUUUACCUCUCUUCUUUUUUCUUUUCUUCUUCUUCACCACAUCAUGCGUGGGUUCAAUCCUCUUUUUGGAGUUCCUUAUUAAUGAGAUUGGUUGAAUAGAGGGCUCCUCUUCGUUACCUGACUCAUCAUAAGAAAUAAUAGGAGAAUAUUGGGAAGUCUCUUCCCUUUCGUUAGCAUUCUCUUCAUCUUCUAUUUGUUUUAUUUUCUUUAUAUAAUUGGCAAUAUAAGGAUUUUCAAUGCAAUUCACCGCGCAAUACAUAUAAAUAUUCUCCAGAUCAAAAUGAAGAACUUUAUCAAGUUGGAAUACCCUCAGUUAUACGUUUCAUUUCUUCAUAACCCAAGAGCAAACUAAGUUCAUUAUGAUGUGCAAGGGAAAUCAAGUCAUCACAAUUUUUGGACACGAUACGGUCAUGAAACAAUUUACAUUUGAUAUUUAAUUGACCAUGUUCUUUGCAAAGUUCGCAAGUAUGGGUAAGAUAUCUUGAAUUUUCAGCACAUUCAUCUAGCUCUUCUUUUAACAAUUUGGUUUCUAAGUACUUAUGCCCCUUGCAAUAUCUAUCUUCCCUAUUUGGUGUGUACUUGCAAACAUGCACUCCACAAAAAUUGACAUGUUUAUAGGAGGCAUUUUCAUCAUAACUAGUGCAAUCAUCAUUAGCAUCAUGGGUAUUCAAAGAAUUCAUACUAACAACAUUGCAAUCAUGCUCAUCAUUCAAAGAUUUAGUGCCAAACAUUUUAUAGAUUUCUUCUUCUAGCACUUGAACACAAUUAUCCUUUCCAUCAUACUCACGAAAGAUAUUAAAAAGGUGAAGCGUAUGAGACAAACUCAAUUCCAUUUUUUGUAAUUUUCUUUUAUAAACUAAACUAGUGAUAAAAUAAGAAACUAAAAGACUCGAUUGCAAGAUCUAAAGAUAUAGCUUCAAGCGCUAACCUCCCCGGCAAAGGCGUCAGAAAAGAGCUUGUUGUCUACUACACAACCUUCUUCUUGUAGACGUUGUUGGGCCUCCAAGUGCAGAGGUUUGUAGGAUAGUAGAAAAUUUCCCUCAAGUGGAUGACCUAAGGUUUAUCAAUCCAUAGGAGGCGUAGGAUGAAGAUGGUCUCUCUCAAGCAACCCCGCAACCAAAUAACAAAGAGUCCCUUGUGUCCCCAACACACCCAAUACAAUGGUAAAUUGUAUAGGUGCACUAGUUCGGCGAAGAGAUGGUGAUACAAGUGAAAUAUGGAUAGUAGAUAAUAGUUUUUGUAAUCUGAAAUUAUAAAAACAGCAAGGUAACAAGUGAUAAAAGUGAGCGUAAACGGUAUUGCAAUGUAUGGAAAUAAGGCCUAGGGUUCAUACUUUCACUAGUGUAAGUCCUCUCAACAAUACUAACAUAAUUGGAUCAUAAAACUAUCCCUCAACAUGCAACAAAGAGUCACUCCAAAGUCACUAAUAGCGGAGAAUGAACGAAGAGAUUAUGGUAGGGUACGAAACCACCUCAAAGUUAUCCUUUCCAAUCAAUCUGUUGGGCUAUUCCUAUAAGUGUCACAAACAACCCUAGAGUUCAUACUAGAAUAACACCUUAAGACACAAAUCAACCAAAAUCCUAAUGUCACCUAGAUACUCCAAUGUCACCUCAAGUAUCCGUGGGUAUGAUUAUACGAUAUGCUUCACACAAUCUCAGAUUCAUCUAUUCAACCAACACAAAGGACCUCAAAGAGUGCCCCAAAGUUCUUCCGAAGAAUCACGACGAAAACGUGUGCCAACCCCUAUGCAUAGGUUCAUGGACGGAACCCGCAAGUUGAUCACCAAAACAUACAUCAAGUGAAUCACGUGAUAUCCCAUUGUCACCACAGAUACGCACGACAAGACAUACAUCAAGUGUUCUCAAAUAUUUAAAGACUCAAUCCGAUAAGAUUACUUCAAAGGGGAAACUCAAUUCAUUACAAGAGAGAAGAGGGGGAGGAGAAACAUAAGAUCCAACUAUAAUAGCAAAGCUCGCGAUACAUCAAGAUCGUGCCAAAUCAAGAACACGAGAGAGAGAGAGAGAGAGAUCAAACACAUAGCUACUGGUACAUACCCUCAGCCCCGAGGGAGAACUACUCCCUCCUCGUCAUGGAGAGCACCGGGAUGAUGAAGAUGGCCAUCGGAGAAGGAUUACCCCCUCCGGCAGGGUGCCAGAACGGGUCUAGAUUGGCUUUCGGUGGCUACGAAGUCUUCUGGCGGCGGAACUCCCGAUCUAUUGUGCUCUCUAGAAGUUUUACAAUACGUAGCUAUAUAUGGGUACAAGGGGUACGUCGGUGGACCGAAGGGGGAGCCACGGGGUAGGGGCGCGCCCCAGGGGGGUGGGCGCGCCCCCUACCCUCGUGAGAACCUCCUUCAUCUUCUGACGUAGGGUCCAAGUCUAUCCGGUAGGUUUCCUUCCAAAAAUAACUUCUCCAGUUGAUUUCAUUCCGUUUUGACUUCGUUUGAUAUUCCUUUUCCUCGAAACACUGAAAUAGGCAUAAAACAGCAAAUCUGGGCUGGGCCUCCGGUUAAUAGGUUAGUCCCAAAAAUAAUAUAAAAGUGGAAAAUAAAGCCCAAUGUUGCCCAAAACAGUAGAUAAUAUAGCAUGGAGCAAUCAAAAAUUAUAGAUACGUUGGAGACGUAUCAGCAUCCCCAAGCUUAAUUCCUGCUUGUCCUCGAGUAGGUAAAUAAUAAAAAAGAUAAUUUUUGAUGUGGAAUGCUAGUUGGCAUAAUUUCAGUGUAAUUCUUCUUACUUGUGAUAUGAAUAUUCAUAUCUGAAAGAUUCAAGACAAAAGUUCAUAUUGACGUAAAAAUAAUAAUACUUCAAGCAUACUAACUAAGCAAUCAUGUCUUCUCAAAAUAACAUGGCCAAAGAAAGUUAUCCCUACAAAAUCAUAUAGUCUGGCUAUGCACCAUCUUCACCACACAAAAUAUUUAAAUCAUGCACAACCCCGAUGACAAGCCAAGCAAUUGUUUCAUACUUUUGGUGUUCUCAAACCUUUUCAAUCUUCACGCAAUACAUGAGCGUGAGCCAUGGAUAUAGCACUAUAAGUGGAAUGGAAUGGUGGUUGUGGAGAAGACAAAAGGGAGAAGAUAGUCUCACAUCAACUAGGCGUAUCAAUGGGCUAUGGAGAUGCCCAUCAAUAGAUAUCAAUGUGAGUGAGUAGGGAUUGCCAUGCAACAGGUGCACUAGAGCUAUAAGUAUAUGAAAGCUCAACAAAAGAAACUAGUGGGUGUGCAUUCAACUCGCUUGCUCACAAGACCUAGGGCAUUUUGAGGAAGCCCAUCAUUGGAAUAUACAAGCCAAGUUCUAUAAUGAAUAAUUCCCACUUAGUAUAUGAAAGUGACAACAUAGGAAACUCUCUAUCAUGAAGAUCAUGGUGCUACUUUGAAGCACAAGUGUGGUAGAAGGAUAGUAGCAUUGCCCCUUCUCUCUUUUUCUCUCGUUUUUUAUUUUUUUUAUUUUUUUAUUUGGGCCUUUUCUCCUUUUUUAUGGCCUCUUUUCUUUCUCUUUUUUUUAUUUGGGCUUCUUUGGCCUCUUUUAUUUAUUUUUCGUCCGGAGUCUCAUCCCGACUUGUGGGGGAAUCAUAGUCUCCAUCAUCCUUUCCUCACUGGGACAAUGCUAUAAUAAUUGAAAGAUCGUGGAUGUCGCCUAGAGGGGGGUGAAUAGGUGCUUUAAAAUAAUUACGGUUGAGGCUUGAACAAAUGCGGAAUAAACCUAGCGGUUAAUUUGUCAAGCACAAAACCUACAACAACUAGGCUCACCUAUGUGCACCAACAGCUUAUGCUAAGCAAGAUAAACUACUAGGUAAUAGCAAGAUAUAUGACAAGAAACAAUAUGGCUAUCACAAAGUAAAGUGCAUAAGUAAAGAGCUCGGGUAAAAGAUAACCGAGGCACGCGGAGACGAUGAUGUAUCCCGAAGUUCACACCCUUGCGGAUGCUAAUCUCCGUUUGGAGCGGUGUGGAGGCACAAUGCUCCCCAAGAAGCCACUAGGGCCACCGUAAUAUCCUCAUGCCCUCGCACAAUGCAAGGUGCCGUGAUUCCACUAAGGUACCCUUGAGGGCGGUCACCGAACCCGUACACUUUGGCAACCCUUGGGGGCGGUCACCGGUACCCGUCAAAUUGCUCGAGGCGAUCUCCACAACCUAAUUGGAGACCCCGACACUUACCCGAAGCUUUACACCACAGUGAUUGAGCUCCGAACACCACCAACCGUCUAGGGCGCCAAGGCACCCAAGAGGAACAAGCUCUAGGGUGCCCAAACACCCAAGAGUAAUAAGCUUCUCAAACUUCACUUCCACGUAUCACCAUGGAGAACUCAAACCGAUGCACCAAAUGCAAUGGCAAGGGCACACGGAGUGCCCAAGUCCUUCUCUCCCAAUCCCACCAAAGCAACUAAUGCUAGGGAAGAAAAUGAGAGGAAGAACGAAAGAAGAACACGAAGAACUCCAAGAUCUAGAUCCAAGGGGUUCCCCUCACUUAGAGGAGAAAGUGAUUGGUGGAAACGUGGAUCUAGAUCUCCUCUCUCUUUUCCCUCAAGAACUAGCAAGAAUCAUUGGAGGGAUUGAGAGUUAGCAAGCUCGAAGAAGGUCAACAAUGGGGGAAGAACACGAGCUAAAAGGAUAAGGUUCAUUGGGGAAGAAGACCCCCUUUUAUAGGUGGGGAAAAAUCCAACUGUUAUGCUCACAACCCGCACAGAGCGGUACUACCGCUAGGGCGGAAGUACCCCUUUGAAAAAGAACAGCGAGGAGGCAAAAGGCCAGAAGAACCGCCGGAGCGGUACUACCGCUCGUCCUCACGGUACUACCGCUCGACCUCACGGUACUACCGCAAAUGGUAGCGGUACUACUGCUUGCGAGCGGUACUAAAAAAAAUACAUCCGGGCCUACCACCGCAAGACUUGGGACGAGUUUUUGGUCCGGAGCAGUACUACCGCUGUAGGAGCCGCGGUAGUACUGCUCUGGAGCGGUAGUAAAAAAUUACAUCCGCUCCAAUUCGCGGUAGUACCGCUGCAGCCUUUUCAGAACACCAAAACUGCCACAACUUUUGCAAAGAGACUCCGAAUUCGAUGAAACCAAGUUUGUUGGAAAGCUAGCAAUAAGGGCUAACACAAUCUUCAAAGAAAUAUCAAUAAGAAGCAAAUGAGAAAAGGCCCAUAAGAAAAUGGUGAGAACCCUUCCUCGGAAAAGACCGGUGAAACCUCCAACACCGAAAACAUCAUAGAAGACACAUGCGAACUCCGUUUUCGAUGAACUCAAGCUUGUCAUCAAGAUGACCAUAAGCUCUAAGACUCACAAAGAGAACCAAACAAGAACCAAGAAACAUUAUGCAAGGAUGCAAUGGUUUGAGCUCUCGACGAACGAUACGAUCAAGCUACUCACUUGAGAGCCCCCCUUGAUAGUACGGCUAUCGAUCCUAUAACCCGGUCUCCCAACUACCACCAUGAGACCAGUAAUAGAAAACCUAUCAAGGGCAAACCUUUGCCUUGCACAUGAUCCACUUGAGUUAGAUGAUGACGAUCUUGUCCUCCUCAAGAUGGACCACCUUUCUUGAUUGCGUUGGGUCGAAGAAGACUAGAUGAUUGCUCCCACAUACUACACUAUGGGUGAGCCACUCUUCGGCACAUCUUCACAAGUCCAUUGACACCACAAUGGAUGGCAAGCUUCAAGCACUUGAUCUCUUCGUGAUUCUCCACUUGAAAUUGAACACGGCAAUCUUGAUGACGAUCACCACUUGAUGUCAUCUUUCCCAUGGGUUGUAUGAUAUCAUCCUCUUGACGCAAGCCCAUGGAUACGUACCUAACCCCACAUAGACUCUCACAUAGACCAUGGGUUAGUACACAAAGUGCAAUGGACAAUGCUUACCAUACCAUGGGAUCACUUGAUCCCUCUCGGUACAUCUUCUACUCUUUGUGAGUUGAUCAACUUGAUUCACUCUUGACUUAGUCUUGAUCAACCUUGAAUAUUUCCAACUCUCUUCGUUUGGAUGAUGUCUUGAAGGUAAACAUGAAUGAUCACACAAUCUUCUUCUUCAAGACAUGCUUGCAAUAAGCCCAACUCUCACAUGACCAAGCUUUGGAUAAUUCCUUAAUAGCACCUUGGUCAACACAAACUCUCCUUGAAACCAACACAUGUACUCCAAGAAAAGCCUAUGGACAAAACCUUCAAAUAUAACUCAAGACAACCAUUAGUCCAUAGAGAUUGUCAUCAAUUACCAAAACCAAACAUGGGGGCACCACAUGUUCUUUCAAUAAUGAUGAUCAUCACACUUUUAUUUACUUACAACUCAAGAAUUAGAACUCGAUACUGAUACGUCUCCAAUGUAUCUAUAAUUUUUGAUUGCUCCAUGCUAUAUUAUCUACUGUUUUGGACUAUAUUGGGCUUUAUUUUCCACUUUUAUAUUAUUUUGGGGACUAACCUAUUAACCGGAGGCCCAACCCAGAAUUGCUGUUUUUUUGCCUAUUUCAGUGUUUCAGAUAAACAGAAUAUCAAACGGAGUCCAAAUGGAAUAAAAUCUUUGGGAACGUGAUUUUCUCACCGAACAUGAUCCAGGAGACUUGGACCCUGCUCCAAGGAACAAAAGAGGCGGUCACGAGGGUGGGGGGCGCCCUCCCUAGGGCGUGCCCCCUGCCUCGUGGGCCCCUCAUUGCUCCUCCGAUGUACUUCUUCCUCCUAUAUAUACACAUGUACCCCCAAACGAUCAGAACGGGAUCCAAAAACCUAAUUCCACCGCCGCAACUUUCUGUAUCCACGAGAUCCCAUCUUGGGGCCUGUUCCGGAGCUCCGCCGGAAGAGGGCCGUCAUCACGGAGGGCUUCUACAUCAUCAUAGCCUCUCCGAUGAAGUGUGAGUAGUUUACCUCAGACCUUCGGGUCCAUAGUUAGUAGCUAGAUGGCUUCUUCUCUCUCUUUGAAUUUCAAUACAAAGUUCUCCCCCUCUCUUGUGGAGAUCUAUCCGAUGUAAUCUUCUUUUUGCGGUGUGUUUGUUGAGACCGAUGAAUUGCGGGUUUAUGAUCAAGUCUAUCUAUGAAUAAUAUUUGAAUCUUCUCUGAAUUCUUUUAUGUAUGAUUGGUUAUCUUUGCAAGUCUCUUCGAAUUAUCCGCUUGGUUUGGCCAACUAGAUUGGUAGUUCUUGCCAUGGGAGAAGUGCUUAGCUUUGGGUUCGAUCUUGCGGUGUCCUGACCCAGUGACAGAAGGGACAGCAAGGCACGUAUUGUAUCGUUGCCAUCGAGGAUAACAAGAUGGGGUUUAUUUCAUAAUGCAUGAAUUUAUCUCUCUACAUCAUGUCAUCUUACUUAAGGCGUUACUCUGUUUUUAAUUUAAUACUCUAGAUGCAUGCUGGAUAGCGGUCGAUGAAUGGAGUAAUAGUAGUAGAUGCAGAAUCGUUUCGAUCUACUUGUCACAGACGUGAUGCCUAUAUACAUGAUCAUGCCUAGAUAUUCUCAUAACUAUGCUCAAUUCUGUCAAUUUCUCAACAGUAAUUUGUUCACCCAUCGUAGAAUACUUAUGCUCUUGAGAGAAGCCACUAGUGAAACCUAUGGCCCCCGGGUCUAUUCUCAUCAUAUCAAUCUCCAUUACUUUAAUCUUGCUUUGCUUUUUUACUUUGCCUUUACUUUUUUACUUUGCAUCUCUAUACCAAAAAUAUUAUAUCUAUCAGAUCUCACUCUCGUAAGUGACCGUGAAGGGCUUGACAACCCCUAAUCGCGUUGGUUGCGAGUAGCUAUCGUUUUGUGCAGGUACGAGGGACUUGAGCGUGGGCUCCUACUGGAUUGAUACCUUGGUUCUCAAAAACUGAGGGAAAUACUUACGCUACUCUGCUGCAUCAUCGCUUCCUCUUCGGGGUAAACCAACGCAAGCUCAAGACGUAGCAAGAAGGAUUUCUAGCGCCGUUGCCGGGGAGUCCAUGCAAAAAGUCAACAUACCAAGUACCCAUCACAAUCCCCAUCUCUCGCAUUACAUUAUUUGCCGUUUGCCUCUUGUUUUCCUCUCCCCCCAAUUCACCCUUGCCGUUUUAUUUGCCCUCUCUCUCCCUACCCUCCCUCUCUAUUUGCCUCUUUUGCCCGGUUGCUUUUUGUUUGCUCGUAUGGUUGGAAUAGUCAUUUAUUUAUUACUAAACAGAGAACCUAAGAUUUAUGGAUCCUCAUCUGCUUGCUAAUCUUUUUAAGAGAUCCAGUUAUGUUGAACCAAUUGCUAGUGACUUUUGUGCACUAGAUUAUCUUUAUGAAGUUUUGCUUGAAAUUCGUGAAUCUGAAAAUUGCAAUGAAGUAUGUUAUGAAGUGAUUCACGAUAGAUCUUUGAAUAAAAAGCAUGAUUGCAAUGAUGUUAUUAUAAAUUCUAUUAAUGACAAUUGUGCUAAUAAUAUGCAAAACCCUAAGCUUGGGGAUGCUAGUUUUGUUAUGUCCUCUACUUGUUGCAAUGAUCAUGAUUGGGGUGAUUCUUCUUUUGAUCUUGAAAAUUUAUUUAAACCCCAUGAUGAAUAUGAGAUUGAUUAUAAUGUUUGCAAUAAUAUUGAAAGUGGGUUUGGAAGAAUGUCAACUUUAGAUCCCACAUAUUUAGAGAAUUUUCAAUCUUAUGAAGUUUUUGAUAAAAGUGCGUUUGGGAAGGUCAUGACUUUAGUUAAUGUUAAUCCCACUAUUUUGGAAAAGUGCCAACUUUGCAUGCAUGUGGAUCAUGUUGAGAAUAUUUUAUGUGAUAGCUAUAUUGUUGAAUUUGCUUAUGAUCCUACAUGCAAUUACUAUGAGAGAGGAAAAUAUGGUGGUAGAAAAUUUCAUGUUACUAAAUUACCUCUCGUUAUGUUGAGAUUGCUAUUGCUUCUUUCCUCUUCCUUGCAUAUGCUAGUUUUUGCUUGCCUUGAUAAUUUGUUUGCCUAUAAUAUGCCUAUGCAUAGUAAGUAUGUUAGACUUAGAUGUGUUUGUCACAUGCUUUAUGAUGCUCCUUUUGUGCUUCAAUUCUUGUCUUUCAUGCGAGCAUCAUUAAAAUUAUCAAUGCCUAGCUAUAAGGCUUUAAAGAAAAGCGCUUGUUGGGAGACAUCCCAAUAUUUUUCCUUGCUGUUAUUUAAUAAAUAAAUUAUUUAGCCUAUGUUUUGAUUGUGUUUUUUGUGUGUUUAAUUAGUGUUUGUGCCAAGUAGAACCAUUGGGAAGACUUGGGGAAAGUCUUGUUGAACUUGCUGUAAAAAACAGAAACUUUAGCGCUCACGAGAACUGCUGUCAUUUUUAUUUGAAGAGUUCUAUUUAGUUAAUUAUUUUUGCAGAUUACUAAUAGAUAAAUUCCUCACAUCCAUCAAUUUAUUUUAGAAUUUUUGGGGUUCCAGAUCUUGCGCUAGCUACAGAUUACUACAGACUGUUCUGUUUUUGAGAGAUUCUAUUUUUCGUGUGUUGUUUGCUUAUUUUGAUGAAUCUAUGGCUAGUAAAAUAGUUUAUAAUCCAUAGAGAAGUUGGAAUACAUUAGGUUUAACACCAAUAUAAAUAAAGAAUGAGUUCAUUACAGUACCUUGAAGUGGUCUUUUGUUUUCUUUCGCUAACGGAGCUCACGAGUUUUCUAUUUUGAGUUUUGUGUUGUGAAGUUUUCAAGUUUUGGGUGAAUUCUUUUGAUGGAUCAUGGAACAAGGAGUGGCAAGAGCCUAAGCUUUGGGAUUCCCAGGGCACCCCCAAGAUAAUCCAAGGACACCAAGAAGUCAAAGCUUGGGGAUGCCCCGGAAGGCAUCCCCUCUUUCGUCCACUUCCAUCGGUAAUUUACUUGGAACUAUAUUUUUAUAGACCAACAUGAUAUGUGUUUUGCUUGGAGCGUCUUGUAUUAUUUGUGUCUUUGUGUCUUAGUAUGCCACAAUCAUCCUUGCUGUACACACCUUUUGAGAGAGCCAUACAUGAAUUAAAAUUUGAUAGAAUACUCUAUGUGCUUCACUUAUAUCUUUUGAGCUAAGUAGUUUUGCUCUAUGUGCUUCACUUAUAUCUUUUGAGCUAAGUAGUUUUGCUCUAUGUGCUUCACUUAUAUCUUUUGAGCAUUAUAAUUUUGCUCUAUAUGCUUCACUUAGAUCUUUUAGAACACGGUGGUGGAUUUGUUUUAAAGAAACUAUUGAUCUCUCAUGCUUCACUUAAAUCAUUUUGAGAGUCUCUUAAUAGCAUGGUAAUUUGCUUAAUAAUAAUAUGCUUGGUAUUCAAGAUUUGUGAAACUUUCUUUUGAGUGUGUUGAAUACUAAGAAAAGAUUGAAGCAUGAUAAUUGUUUUGAUAUAUGGAGGUGAUAAUAUUAAAGUCAUGCUAGUUGAGUAGUUGUGAAUUUAAGGAAUACUUGUGUUAAGGUUUGUGAUUCCCGUAGCAUGCACAUAUGGUGAACCGUUAUGUGAUGAAGUUGGAGCAUGAUUUAUUUAUUGAUUGUCUUCCUUAUGAGUGGCGGUCGGGGACGUGCGAUGGUCUUUUCCUACCAAUCUAUCCCCCUAGGAGCAUGCGCGUAAUACUUUGCUUUGAUAACUUCUAGAUUUUUGCAAUAAGUAUAUGAGUUCUUUAUGACUAAUGUUGAGUCCAUGGUUUGUACGCACUCUCACCCUUCCACCUUUGCUAGCCUCUCUAAUACCGCGCACCUUUCGCCGGUAUCAUACACCUACCAUAUACCUUCCUCAAAACAGCCACCAUACCUACCUAUUAUGGCAUUUCCAUAGCCAUUCCGAGAUAUAUUUCCAUGCAACUUUCCACCAUUCCGUUCAUGACACAUUCAUCAUUGUCAUAUUGCAUAUCCCGGUACACCGCCGGAUGCAUUCACAUAGAGUCAUAUUUUGUUCUAAGUAUCGAGUUGUAAUUGUUGAGUUAUAAGAAAAAUAAAAGUGUGAUGAUCAUCAUUAUUAGAGCAUUGUCCCAGUGAGGAAAGAAUGAUGGAGACUAUGAUUCCCCCAUAAGUCGGGAUGAGACUCCGGACGAAAAAAGAGAGGCCAAAGAAGCCCAAAUAAAAAGAGGCCAUAAAAAAGAGAAAAGGCCCAAAUAAAAAAAUGAGAGAAAAAGAGAGAAGGGACAAUGUUACUAUUCUUUUACCACACUUGUGCUUCAAAGUAGCACCAUGAUCUUCAUAGUAGAGAGUCUCUCAUGUUAUCACUUUCAUAUACUAGUGGGAAUUUUACAUUAUAGAACUUGGCUUGUAUAUUCCAAUGACGGGCUUCCUCAAAAAUUGCCCUAGGUCUUCAUGAGUAAGAAAGUUGGAUGCACACCCACUUAGUUUCUUUUUGAGCUUUCAUAUACUUAUAGCUCUAGUGCAUCCGUUGCAUGGCAAUCCCUACUCACUCACAUUGAUAUCUAUUGAUGGGCAUCUCCAUAGCCCGUUGAUAUGCCUAGUUGAUGUGAGACCAUCUUCUCCUUUUUUGUCUUCUCCACAACCACCAUUCUAUUACACCUAUAGUGCUAUAUCCAUGGCUCACGCUCAUGUAUUGCGUGAAGAUUGAAAAAGUUUUGAAAAAGUUAGAGUAUGAAACAAUUGCUUGGCUUGUCAUCAGUGUUGUGCAUGAUUUAAAUACUUUGUGUGGUGAAGAUGGAGCAUAGCCAGACUAUAUGAUUUUGUAGGGAUAACUUUCUUUGGCCAUGUUAUUUUGAGAAGACACAAUUGCUUUGUUAGUAUGCUUGAAGUAUUAUUAUUUUUUAUGUCAAUAUAAACUUUUGUCUUGAAUCUUUCUAAUCUGAAUAUUCAUACCACAAUUAAGAAGAUUUACAUUGAAAUUAUGCCAAGUAGCACUCCGCAUCAAAAAUUCUCUUUUUAUCAUUUACCUACUCGAGGACGAGCAUGAAUUAAGCUUGGGGAUGCCUAAUACGUCUCCAACGUAUCUAUAAUUUUUGAUUGCUCCAUGCUAUAUUAUCUACUGUUCUGGACUAUAUUGGGCUUUAUUUUCCACUUUUAUAUUAUUUUUGGGACUAACCUAUUAACCGGAGGCCCAGCCCAGAAUUGCUGUUUUUUUGCCUAUUUUAGUGUUUCGGAUAAACGGAAUAUCAAACGGAGUCCAAACAGAAUAAAAUCUUCGGGAACGUGAUUUUCUCACCGAACGUGAUCUAGGAGACUUGGACCCUGCUCCAAGGAACAAAAGAGGCGGUCACGAGGGUGGGGCCCCCCCUAGGGCGUGCCCCCUGCCUCAUGGGCCCCUCGUUGCUCCUCCGGUGUACUUCUUCCUCCUAUAUAUACACACGUACCCCCAAACGAUCAGAACGGGAUCCAAAAACCUAAUUCCACUGCCGCAACUUUCUGUAUCCACGAGAUCCCAUCUUGGGGCCUGUUCCGGAGCUCCGCCGGAAGAGGGCCGUCAUUACGGAGGGCUUCUACAUCAUCAUAGCCUCUCCGAUGAAGUGUGAGUAGUUUACCUCAGACCUUCGGGUCCAUAGUUAGUAUCUAGAUGGCUUCUUCUCUCUCUUUGAAUCUCAAUACAAAGUUCUCCCCCUCUCUUGUGGAGAUCUAUUCGAUGUAAUCUUAUUUUUGCGGUGUGUUUGUUGAGAUCGAUGAAUUGUGGGUUUAUGAUCAAGUCUAUCUAUGAAUAAUAUUUGAAUCUUCUCUGAAUUCUUUUAUGUAUGAUUGGUUAUCUUUGCAACUCUCUUCGAAUUAUCCGUUUGGUUUGGCCAACUAGAUUGGUAGUUCUUGCCAUGAGAGAAGUGCUUAGCUUUGGGUUCGAUCUUGCGGUGUCCUGACCCAGUGACAGAAGGGGCAGCAAGGCAUGUAUUGUAUCGUUGCCAUCGAGGAUAACAAGAUGGGGUUUAUUUCAUAUUGCAUGAAUUUAUCUCUCUACAUCAUGUCAUCUUGCUUAAGGCAUUACUCUGUUUCUAACUUAAUACUCUAGAUGCAUGCUGGAUAGCGGGCGAUGAGUGGAGUAAUAGUAGUAGAUGCAGAAUCGUUUCGAUCUACUUGUCACGGACGUGAUGCCUAUAUACAUGAUCAUGCCUAGAUAUUCUCAUAACUAUGCUCAAUUCUGUCAAUUGCUCAACAGUAAUUUGUUCACCCACCGUAGAAUACUUAUGCUCUUGAGAGAAGCCACUAGUGAAACCUAUGGCCCCCGGGUCUAUUCUCAUCAUAUCAAUCUCCAUUACUUUAAUCUUGCUUUGCUUCUUUACUUUGCCUUUACUUUUUUACUUUGCAUCUUUAUACCAAAAAUAUUAUAUCUAUCAGAUCUCACUCUCGUAAGUGACCGUGAAGGGCUUGACAACCCCUAAUCGCGUUGGUUGCGAGUAGCUAUCAUUUUGUGCAGGUACGAGGGACUUGAGCGUGGGCUCCUACUGGAUUGAUACCUUGGUUCUCAAAAACUGAGGGAAAUACUUACGCUACUCUGUUGCAUCAUCCCUUCCUCUUCGGGGAAAACCAACGCAAGCUCAAGACGUAGCAGAUACUUAGAACAAGAUAUGACUCUAUAUGAAUGCCUUCGGCGGUGUACCGGGAUGUGCAAUGACCCAUGGGUGACAUGUAUGAAAGAAUUAUGAAUGGUGGCUUUGCCACAAAUACGAUGCCAACUACAUGAUCAUGCUAAGCAAUAUGACAAUGAUGGAGUAUGUCAUAAACGGAACGGUGGAAAGUUGCAUGGCAAUAUUUCUCGGGAUGGCUAUGGAAAUGCCAUGAUAGGUAGGUAUGGUGGCUGUUUUGAGGAAGGUAUAUGGUGGGUGUACGAUACCGGCGAAAGGUGCGCGGUAUUAGCGAGGCUAGCAAAGGUGGAAGGGUGAGAGUGUGUAUAAUCCAUGGACUUAACAUUAGUCAUAAAGAACUCAUAUACUUAUUGCAAAAAUCUAGAACUUAUCAAAGCGAAGUAUUACGCGCAUGCUCCUAGGGGGAUAGAUUGGUAGGAAAAUACCAUCACUCGUCCCCGACUGCCACUCAUAAGGAAGACAAUCAAUAAAUAAAUCAUGCUCCAACUUCAUCACAUAACGGUUCACCAUACGUGCAUGCUACGGGAAUCACAAACUUCAACACAAGUAUUUCUCAAAUUCAUAACCACUCAACUAGCAUGACUCUAAUAUUACCAUCCUCAUAUCUCAAAACAAUCAUCAAGUAUCAAACUUCUCUUAGUAUUCAACACACUCAUAAGAGAAUUUUAUUAUUCUUCUUGUAUACCUAGCAUAUUAGGAUUAUUUAAGCAAAUUACCAUGCUAUUUAAAACUCUCAAAAUGAUAUAAGUGAAGCAUGAGAGUUCAUCUAUUUCUACAAAAUAAAACUACCACCAUGCUCUAAAAGAUAUAAGUGAAGCACUAGAGCAACAACAAAUUACUCCCAAAGAUAUAAAUGAAGAUCAAUGAGUAGUCGAAUAAUUAUGCAAUUAUGUGAAGACUCUCUAACAUUUAAUAAUUUCAGAUCUUGGUAUUUUAUUCAAACAGCAAGCAAAGCAAAAUAAAAUGACAUUCUAAGAAUGGCAAACAUCAUGUGAAGAAGCAAAAACUUAGGAUCAACCAAAACUAACCGAUAAUUGUUGAAGAAGAAAGGUGGGAUGCCAACCGGGGCAUCCCCAAGCUUAGAUGCUUGAGACUUCUUGAAAUAUUAUCUUGGGGGUGCCUUGGGCAUCCCCAAGCUUGAGCUUUUGUGUCUCCUUAAUUCCUCUCAUAUCAAGGUCUCCCUAAAUCUCAAAAGCUUCAUCCACACAAAACUCAACAAGGACUCGUGAAUAAGUUAGUAUAAACCAUUGCAAAAACCUUAUCAUACUCUACUGUAGCAAAUCAUUAAAAUUAUUAUUCAACAUUGCAUACUAAAUGCCUCUGCAAUAUUUAAUAGUCCUAUCCUCAAAUAGAAUCAUUAAAGAAGCAAACAUAUGCAAACAAUGCAAACAUAACAGCAAUCUGCCUAAACAUGAUAGUCCGUAAAGAAUGCUGCAACAUACAUACUUCCCUAGCUCCAAAAAUUAUGAAAGAAAAUUCCCACUGUAGUAAAUUUAUCAGAGCUUAAUAUUCAAAAGGUUUCAAUAUUUUAUCACAUUCUGACUUUUCUAGGGAAUUAUUGCAACAGCGGUAAACUUUCUGUUUUCAAACAGCGACAUGUAUACUUGUAACAUAGGCAUAGUAAAGGCUAUCAAUGCCACUUUUAUUGAAAUAAAAGAUGCAAAACAUUAUUAUAAAUAACAUCAAGCAAAUCCUAACAAAAUAAAUUGACGCUCCAAGCAAAACACAUAUCAUGUGGUGAAUAAAAAUAUAGCUCCAAGUAAAGUUACCGAUGAACGAAGACGAAAAAGGGGAUGCCUUCCGGGGCAUCCCCAAGCUUAGGCUCUUGGUUGUCCUUGAAUUUUACCUUGGGGUGCCAUGGGCAUCCCCAAGCUUAGGUUAUUGCCACUCCUUGUUCCAUAGUCCAUCGAAUCCUUAUCCAAAACUUGAAAACUUCACAACACAAAACUUAACAGAAAACUCGUAAGCUCCGUUAGUAUAAGAAAAUAAAUCACCACUUCAAGGUAUUGUAAUGAACUCAUUCUUUAUUUAUAUUAGUGUUAAAACUACUGUAUUCCAACUUCUCUAUGGUUUAUAAAUUAUUUUACUAGCCAUAGAUUCAUCAAAAUAAGUAAAAAACACAUAAAAACAGAAUCUGUCAAAAACAGAACAAUCUGUAGUAAUCUGGAUCAAACAUAUACUUCUGGAACUCAUAAAAUUCUCAAAUAAAUUGCUGGACCUGAGGAAUUUAUCUAUUAAUCAUUUCAAAAAGAACUAAAUAGCACUCUCCAAAUAAAAAUGACAGUAAUUCUCGUGAGCGCUAAAGUUUCUGUUUUUUUACAGCAUGAUCAUGAAGACUUCACCCAAGUCUUCCCAAAGGUUCUACUUGGCACAAACACUAAUUAAAAGCAUACAAACACAUAUAAACAGAGGCUAGAUGAAUUAUUUAUUACUAAACAGGAACAAAAAGCAAGGAACAAAAAUAAAAUUGGGUUGCCUCCCAACAAGCGCUAUCGUUUAACGCCCCUAGCUAGACAUGAUGAUUUCAAUGAUGCUCACAUGAAAGAUAAGAAUUGUAACAUAAAGAGAGCAUCUUGAAGAAUAUGACUAGCACAUUUAAGUCUAACCCACUUCCUAUGCAUUGGGAUUUUGUGAGCAAACAACUUGUGGGAACAAGAAUCAACUUGCAUAGGAAGGUAAAACAAGCAUAAGUUCAAAACUUUAAGCACAUAGAGAGGAAACUUGAUAUUAUUGCAAUUCCUACAAGCAUAUAUUCCUCUCUCAUAAUAAUUUUCAGUAGCAUCAUGAAUGAAUUCAACAAUAUAACCAGCACCUAAAGCAUUAUUUCAUGAUCUACAAGCAUAGAAAAUUUACUACUCUCCACACAAGCAAGAUUCUUCUCAUGAAUAAUAGUGUGAGUAUCAUAAGAGACUCGAAUACUAUAAAUUGUUUCCACAUUAAAAGAGUAAUGUUCAGAGAAGGGGUAAUCAUGAUCAUGACAAGUUUUAUAAAUAUAAUCGCUACUUUUUAUAGCAUAAGUAUCAUCACAAUAAUCAUCAUAAGUAGGAGGCAUGCUAUCAUCAUUAUAAACUUGCAUAUCAAAACUUGGGAGACUAAAAAUAUCAUCUUCAUUAAUCAUAGCUUCCCCAAGCUUAGGACAAACAUUAAUUGCAGCAAAUAUAUUCUCAAAAACAUCAUCUUCAUCAAACAUAGCACCCCCAAGCUUGGGCCUUUUCAUAUCAUAAGCAUAAUCACUCUCAUAAUUAAUAGUAUGGAUAGCACCAACAGUAUAGCAAUUAUCAUAUUCUUCCAAGCGAGUGCCAAAAAGAUUUUCAAGAUCAUAAGAAGUAUCAUUAUCUUCCACAAUUAUAUUUUCAUGAGGCACAAUAGUAAUAGGAGCAGCAUUAUUUGGGAGAGAUAUCUUUUUACCUCUCUUCUUUUUUCUUUUCUUCUUCUUCACCACAUCAUGCGUGGGUUCAAUCCUCUUUUUGGAGCUCCUUAUUAAUGAGAUUGGUUGAAUAGAGGGCUCCUCUUCGUUACCUGAUUCAUCAUAAGAAAUAAUAGGAGAAUAUUGGGAAGUCUCUUCCCUUUCGUUAGCAUUCUCUUCAUCUUCUAUUUGUUUUCUUUUCUUUAUAUAAUUGGCAAUAUAAGGAUUUUCAAUGCAAUUCACCGCGCAAUACAUAUAAAUAUUCUCCAGAUCAAAAUGAAGAACUUUAUCAAGUUGGAAUACCCUCAGUUAUACGUUUCAUUUCUUCAUAACCCAAGAGCAAACUAAGUUCAUUAUGAUGUGCAAGGGAAAUCAAGUCAUCACAAUUUUUGGACACGAUACGGUCAUGAAACAAUUUACAUUUGAUACUUAAAUGACCAUGUUCUUUGCAAAGUUCGCAAGUAUGGGUAAGAUAUCUUGAAUUUUCAGCACAUUCAUCUAGCUCUUCUUGCAACAAUUUGGUUUCUAAGUACUUAUGCCCCUUACAAUAUCUAUCUUCCCUAUUUGGUGUGUACUUGCAAACAUGCACUCCACAAAAAUUGACAUGUUUAUAGGAGGCAUUUUCAUCAUAACUAGUGCAAUCAUCAUUAGCAUCAUGGGUAUUCAAAGAAUUCAUACUAACAACAUUGCAAUCAUGCUCAUCAUUCAAAGAUUUAGUGCCAAACAUUUUAUAGAUUUCUUCUUCUAGCACUUGAGCACAAUUAUCCUUUCCAUCAUACUCACGAAAGAUAUUAAAAAGGUGAAGCGUAUGAGACAAACUCAAUUCCAUUUUUUGUAAUUUUCUUUUUAUAAACUAAACUAGUGAUAAAAUAAGAAACUAAAAGACUCGAUUGCAAGAUCUAAAGAUAUACCUUCAAGCGCUAACCUCCCCGGUAAAGGCGUCAGAAAAGAGCUUGAUGUCUACUACACAACCUUCUUCUUGUAGACGUUGUUGGGCCUCCAAGUGCAGAGGUUUGUAGGAUAGUAGAAAAUUUUCCUCAAGUGGAUGACCUAAGGUUUAUCAAUCCAUAGGAGGCGUAGGAUGAAGAUGGUCUCUCUCAAGCAACCCCGCAACCAAAUAACAAAGAGUCCCUUGUGUCCCCAACACACCCAAUACAAUGGUAAAUUGUAUAGGUGCACUAGUUCGGCGAAGAGAUGGUGAUACAAGUGCAAUAUGGAUAGUAGAUAAUAGUUUUUGUAAUCUGAAAUUAUAAAAACAGCAAGGUAACAAGUGAUAAAAGUGAGCGUAAACGGUAUUGCAAUGUGUGGAAAUAAGGCCUAGGGUUCAUACUUUCACUAGUGUAAGUCCUCUCAACAAUACUAACAUAAUUGGAUCAUAAAACUAUCCCUCAACAUGCAACAAAGAGUCACUCCAAAGUCACUAAUAGCGGAGAACGAACGAAGAGAUUAUGGUAGGGUACGAAACCACCUCAAAGUUAUCCUUUCCAGUCAAUCUGUUGGGCUAUUCCUAUAAGUGUCACAAACAACCCUAGAGUUUGUACUAGAAUAACACCUUAAGACACAAAUCAACCAAAAUCCUAAUGUCACCUAGAUACUCCAAUGUCACCUCAAGUAUCCGUGGGUAUGAUUAUACGAUAUGCUUCACACAAUCUCAGAUUCAUCUAUUCAACCAACACAAAGGACCUCAAAGAGUGCCCCAAAGUUCUACCGAAGAAUCACGACGAAAACGUGUGCCAACCCCUAUGCAUAGGUUCAUGGACGGAACCCGCAAGUUGAUCACCAAAACAUACAUCAAGUGAAUCACGUGAUAUCCCAUUGUCACCACAGAUAUGCACGACAAGACAUACAUCAAGUGUUCUCAAAUAUUUAAAGACUCAAUCCGAUAAGAUUACUUCAAAGGGGAAACUCAAUUCAUUACAAGAGAGAAGAGGGGGAGGAGAAACAUAAGAUCCAACUAUAAUAGCAAAGCUCGCGAUACAUCAAGAUCGUGCCAAAUCAAGAACACGAGAGAGAGAGAGAGAGAUCAAACACAUAGCUACUGGUACAUACCCUCAGCCCCGAGGGAGAACUACUCCCUCCUCGUCAUGGAGAGCACCGGGAUGAUGAAGAUGGCCACNNNNNNNNNNNNNNNNNNNNNNNNNNNNNNNNNNNNNNNNNNNNNNNNNNNNNNNNNNNNNNNNNNNNNNNNNNNNNNNNNNNNNNNNNNNNNNNNNNNNNNNNNNNNNNNNNNNNNNNNNNNNNNNNNNNNNNNNNNNNNNNNNNNNNNNNNNNNNNNNNNNNNNNNNNNNNNNNNNNNNNNNNNNNNNNNNNNNNNNNNNNNNNNNNNNNNNNNNNNNNNNNCACCGGAAUGAUGAAGAUGGCCACCGGAGAAGGAUUACCCCCUCCGGCAGGGUGGCGGAGCGGGUCUAGAUUGGCUUUCGGUGGCUACGGAGGCUUCUGGCGGCAGAACUCCCGAUCUAUUGUGCUCUCUGGAAGUUUUACGAUACGUAGGUAUAUAUGGGUACAAGGGGUACGUCGGUGGACCGAAGGGGGGGGGGGCACGAGGCAGGGGGGCGCUCCCCAGGGGGGUGGGCGCGCUCCCUAUCCUCGUGAGCACCUCCUUCAUCUUCUGACGUAGGGUCCAAGUCUAUCCGGUAGGUUUCCUUCCAAAAAUAACUUCUCCAGUUGAUUUCGUUCCGUUUUGACUUCGUUUGAUAUUCCUUUUCCUCGAAACACUGAAAUAGGCAUAAAACAACAAAUCUGGGCUGGGCCUCUGGUUAAUAGGUUAGUCCCAAAAAUAAUAUAAAAGUGGAAAAUAAAGCCCAAUAUUGCCCAAAACAGUAGAUAAUAUAGCAUGGAGCAAUCAAAAAUUAUAGAUACGUUGGAGACGUAUCAAAUACAGAGGGGGCAAGUUGCCUCGUUAGAUCACGAAGCUCUCAAACUGUCGCGGGUUUGCCAGCCCCGCGAUAGUUCCAACAUAGUAGACUCAUUGCGCAUGCCGCGACUCCCCUUGGGAGCCCGCCAAACGCGCAUCAUUGUUUAUUGUCAAAACUAGGCUCUUCACCAUUGAGUUGUCUUGGGUUGGUAGAGAAAGUUUGUUCCUCUUUGGUUCCUGCUUGGAUGGAGAACUCGCUGGUACAUCUUGGUUCUGCUGCAUAGGCAAAGGGUUGCUUGGUUGGGCAACAUGCAUAGAGCUAGCAGAACCCCUCGGGUCCAACACCACUAGAGCGCCUCUUUUCCUGUUGUUAUCCGCAUCAUCCAUAGCAACAUCUCCCUUCAUAUUCUCUGGAUCCUCCUGCUCAGCCCACAUCUCCUGACUCCUCUGAGAAGAACCGCGGCCUCGUCCACGGCCUUGACCCGAUCUGCCACGCCCUCUUCCUUCUCCCGGUCCCCAGCCCGGUCCUCUAAACCACGAUGCCCGUAAAUUCUUGUAGACCAGAGCUUCAGGUGGACGAACACCAUCUUCGUGCUCCUUAAAUUGGUGCCCAAGGUGGCCACAAAUAGCGCACCAGUCGGGUAAGCGCUCGUAUUUUACUAGAAAGAUUUCUCUUUUCCCUUCUUUCACCACAGAGACUGCAUUCUUUAGAGGAAGAUGGGCAUUGAUCUUGACCCUAACCCGUACAAAGUUGCCUUCAAAGUCUUGUGAUUUUGGUUCAGCGUAUAUGUACUGCCCAAUUUUCCCUGCUAGGGCUUUGAUCAUUGGAAAGUAACCAUCAGGAAAGUCGUGUAUCUGAGCCCAUAUGUCCAACAUGUCCAGAUUCACCUUUGAAGGCUUGGUGAACCCGUCAUACUCAGCAAGCACCACCGCGUUUCCUUUGAAGGUCCACGGUCCCUCCGCCAUGACGCGCUCCCAAUCGCCGAGGCACGAGAAUUGCAUAGUGUACAUAUUUUCUUCGAGCGGACGGAUCUUUACCUCCUAUGCUAGAUCCCAGGCAGCCCUCAUAUUACGGAAGAACCAAUAUUGGCUGUAGUUCUUCGGGGUGUGGACUCUCGCGAUGGCCAUCCACCGCACUGCUACUUCAGCUGGUACAUCUUGCUCCUCGAAAACCACAUCAUCUAGGUCAUCCUCAGUGAUGCCCAGAUUCUUCAUCAUCUCCUCAACAUCGCUUGCCUCCGCGUCCGAUCCAGACGCCUGGCUAGCCAUACCGCAAAACCCUAACCCGACGAAACAGCGAUCACCAGGUUUGACGGAACCCUAUCUGCCUUCUCUGACUCCUGAAACCCUACCAAGGCCAAGACCAGGCAGCGAUGCAAGAUCGCCCCUUAAUCAGUCCAAGCCUGGCUGGGAACCAGAGGAAGAUCGGCGAGGGGAUAGGAUAGUCUCAACGGCGGCUCGGGGAGUCGCCGAGAGGAAAACGAAACCCUAACAGGAGGGGAACAGGCAACAGAACGUUAAUACGUUCUGCUCAAAUGCGUGAAUAAAAUCUUGAGAAAUCCAAUGAUUACCGAUUCCUUCUCUGUCCAAACAAAAAGCCCAAAGCCCCUGUUGAAGGCUGGGCUGGGCCGUCAGCAGGCUUCUUACCCCGGCCGACCGCAUCCUGUUGGAGGUUGGGCUGGGCCGUAAGCCGGCUUCCUUAUCCCUUUCUCCUACAUUCGGCUCUCCUCCGCUCCUCCGGUGCCGCUUCCGGUCUUCCAGAUUGCAGCCAAUGGCGCCACCGGCGCGGCCGUCCAAUGGUAGGUGGUGCAUACUCUACUCCCCAGUACCAGUCCUCACGCGCAUCUCUGAUUCGGUGGCCGUUGUUAUCGCAGCCACGCUUCUUGCGCGGCUCGGGGAGGGCACGGCCAGGUUCGAGCUCCUCGAGGACCCCGCGCCUGCUCCCGCGCCGCCGGUUUGGCCUCGCCUCCACUGCUUCGCCAGGAUUGGCUCCUCGCUGUACGUGCGCUUCUUCUCCGUCUCCAUUUAUGCCUGACUCGAUUGAAGUGCCGGCGGAGCUGAGUUACAAGAACUGGUGUUCCCGGUCCAGGAGGGGCGGGUGGUCGGCGGCGUUGAACAAGGUGGAGCACUACGGGGUCCAGAGAGUCACCGGCGAUGGCCGCUGCAUGUUUCGAGCCUUGGUAAGUCGCAGAAUCAUCUCUUUCUGCUGGAUUUUGCGCAUGCUUCAGAGUUCAGAAUAUGGUCUUCCGUCCCUCUUGAAUCCUGGUGUGUUUCUUUGUAGGCUAAGGGAAUGGCAAAGACUAGGGGAAUUCCAUUGACCCCAAGGGAGGAGGUACAAGAUGCAGGUAGUCCGAUAUUAUGCCUGGCUCAUGGAUGUAUCUUCCGCAAUACUAUUAUACUUUACUUUCUUUUGUUUGUGUGAGAAUUACUUUACUUUCCCUUUGUGUAGCCUUAAGUAGUCAAACUUUUUUGGGGGUCAGUAUGGAGAUAGUUUUCCCUAUGUGUAGGUCUUCUAGGGCUUUAGUCUAGGUUUCGUUACAUAUUAAUAACAUCUUUUACCCUGGGGAGAAUUUGUCUUUAGAUGUGAAUUUACAAACCAAAUCCCUGUUUCUUUCCACCAAAUAAAUAUGAUUACAGUCAUAUUAUGAGAAGGCGCUCCCACUUUAACAACGAAAGCUGUAUUCACAAAAUAGAACAUCCACUUAAUAGUGGUAUCAUUGUCAACAAAAACAUGUAAGAGGAGUUGCGGUACAUGGUAGAUAGAUUCAAAUGUGUUGCUAGGUCAUAGACCUGGAAGUCAAUUCGGGUGUAAUUGUUACACUCAAAGAUAGACCCCGCCACUCUAGACUCCAGACGAUUAUGGCCAGGUAUGCAUGAAAAAGAGUUGAACAUUUUUCAGUCAUUGAACAUAAAAAAAAUGCAUCGCAUGUUCCCUACACCUACUCCUCAGAGCAUCUCCAACCGAACGUCUAUAUACCGAUCUCCAUAUCUCCGUA
rnacentral:lncRNA from 1 species